ensembl:lncRNA
UUUAAACAGGGGAGGUGUUAUUUACUCUAAUGGGGUUUAAACAGGGGAGGAGUUAUUUACUCUAAUGGGGUUUAAACAGGGGAGGCUUAUUUACUCUAAUGGGGUUUAAACAGGGGAGGAGUUAUUUACUCUAAUGGGGGAGGAGUUAUUUCAUCAAUGGGGUUUAAACAGGGGAGGAGUUAUUUACUAUAAUGAGGUUUUAACAGGGGAGGAGUUAUUUCCUCUAAUGGGGUUUGUGUCAUCAACUAUAACCAUGCGCAUAUUCCUCAUUGGAACACAGCUAUUGUUUUUGUUUUUUUAAGUACAGGGCUUGUGCAACGUGCAGUACCUAUCCAUUGAUGUAAAUAUAUCCUCUGUCUGAUUCCCAGUUCAUCCACUGGAUAGCAGUGGGAGAUCACAUGACGUCUCUUGGCCACAAAACCAAUUGCAUCUGGUUUGUUUGGGUAGUGAGUCACUGUUGCCAAAAUGGCUAAAUUUAGAUUUUCAAGCCUGUCAUCUCAAAAUGACCUCAUCAAUCGGGGCUUUCAAGUUACGGAGUUUUUUGUUGUUGUUGUUUGUUGUUUUAAAAAAGACCCAGAUAUGUGUAGAAACGUCACACUUCUAUCCCCAUUCACUCUUCCUAUUGUAAACGAUGAGCUAGCUAAACGGUGCAUGUGGAGGAUACGUACAAAGGUCAUGUGGAUGGAG